UACGUAGGGUGCGAGCGUUGUCCGGAAUUAUUGGGCGUAAAGAGCUCGUAGGCGGUCUGUCGCGUCGGCUGUGAAAACCCGGAGCUCAACUCCGGGCCUGCAGUCGAUACGGGCAGACUGGAGUUCGGCAGGGGAGACUGGAAUUCCUGGUGUAGCGGUGAAAUGCGCAGAUAUCAGGAGGAACACCGGUGGCGAAGGCGGGUCUCUGGGCCGAUACUGACGCUGAGGAGCGGAAGCGUGGGGAGCGAACAGG
rnacentral:rRNA from 1 species